UACAGAGGUGGCAAGCGUUGUUCGGAAUUACUGGGCGUAAAGCGUGCGCAGGCGGUUGUGCAAGACAGAUGUGAAAUCCCCGGGCUCAACCUGGGAAUUGCAUUUGUGACUGCACGGCUAGAGUGUGUCAGAGGGGGGUAGAAUUCCACGUGUGAGCAGUGAAAUGCGUAGAGAUGUGGAGGAAUACCGAUGGCGGAAGGCAGCCCCCUGGGAUAACACUGACGCCUCAUGCACGAAGCGUGGGGAGCAAACAGG
rnacentral:rRNA from 1 species